rfam:Triticum aestivum genome assembly, contig: Triticum_aestivum_CS42_TGACv1_scaffold_642269_T_3B-0.127763_2BS-0.090325
AUGAUACUCCCUCCGUUUCAAAUUACUCGUCGCAGAAAUGGAUGUAUCUAGAACUAAAAUACAUCAAGAUACAUCCAUUUCUGCGACGAGUAAUUCGGAACGGAGGAAAUAUGUG